rnacentral:rRNA from 1 species
CUAUACAUGCAGUCGAGCGGACCGACGGGAGCUUGCUCCCUUAGGUCAGCGGCGGACGGGUGAGUAACACGUGGGUAACCUGCCUGUAAGACUGGGAUAACUCCGGGAAACCGGGGCUAAUACCGGAUGCUUGAUUGAACCGCAUGGUUCAAUCAUAAAAGGUGGCUUUUAGCUACCACUUGCAGAUGGACCCGCGGCGCAUUAGCUAGUUGGUGAGGUAACGGCUCACCAAGGCGACGAUGCGUAGCCGACCUGAGAGGGUGAUCGGCCACACUGGGACUGAAACACGGCCCAGACUCCUACGGGAGGCAGCAGUAGGGAAUCUUCCGCAAUGGACGAAAGUCUGACGGAACAACGCCGCGUGAGUGAUGAAGGUUUUCGGAUCGUAAAACUCUGUUGUUAGGGAAGAACAAGUACCGUUCGAAUAGGGCGGUACCUUGACGGUACCUAACCAGAAAGCCACGGCUAACUAC